AUGGGAGUCUUCAAGGUUCCAAACCUGCUAUGCUUGCUAUUUCUCAUGCUACUCGUCUUGGCUCCUGGCUUUGAUGCCAAGACUUGCUACAAGGACAGCACGACCUAUACCACUAAUAUUUGCAGUCCUGAUCCAUGUGUUGAGGCAUGUCACAAGGAGGGAUUUACUGAUGGGACGUGUGUCCUAUUCUUGCCAAGACCCAUUAUCGAGAGAUGUUUAUGCAAAACAUGUUGA
rnacentral:rRNA from 1 species